ACAUUCUACAUAUUAUAUGUACAUGCAUUUGUUAAAUUGCAAAAGAAAAAGAUCACAGAUCAGUUUAGAAAAACACUUGUUGGUCACCUCUAAGGGGAACUACAAAAAUACAAACAGUAACAGGGUUAUACAACAAAUAACUACUCACCCACAUACAAAGGCAAAUUAUUUCCACACUUACAGCUACAAAGAAAUAACAAUGGGAAAAACCAUCGACUAUAGCAGAAGUCAUAUAGAGAGAAGCGGAAAAAAAGAGACUUCUCCCAAUGCGCAGGAUUUUGUUUACAAAAAUUGAUUUUACUGACAAAUGAACACCUGGAAAGAAAGAACGGAAGAAAUAAAGACGAACAAAAUGGUAAAUCAUGUCCCGAUAACAACAAAAGAACCGAUGGCAUGGGGGAUGGCUUGCUAGAGCGGAGGGAGUAACAGAAGGUGGUGCGAAAAAAGAAAGUUAAAUAAAUGUGGAAAAGGUAAAGAUAAAGAAAUUCAUAGAGAACGAGAAGUACUACGAAAAGUAAUGAAAAAUUGAUUAAGGGUAGAAAUGAAUGCAUAUUUUAACGAAAUAUUUAAUAUAUUAAAAAUUAUGACAAGAAAA